rnacentral:rRNA from 1 species
GAUGAACGCUGGCGGCAUGCCUAACACAUGCAAGUCGAACGAAGCUGCUCGGAAAGAGAUUUCGGUCAAUUGAAGAGUAGACUUAGUGGCGAACGGGUGAGUAAUGCAUGAGCAACCUGCCCUUCAGUGGGGGAUAACAGCCGGAAACGACUGCUAAUACCGCAUGACAUUUUCGAGAGGCAUCUCUUGAAAAUCAAAGAUUUAUUGCUGAAGGAUGGGCUCAUGUCUGAUUAGUUAGUUGGUGAGGUAACGGCUCACCAAGACCGCGAUCAGUAGCCGGUCUGAGAGGAUGAACGGCCACAUUGGGACUGAGAUACGGCCCAGACUCCUACGGGAGGCAGCAGUGGGGAAUAUUGGGCAAUGGGCGAAAGCCUGACCCAGCAAUGCCGCGUGAAGGAAGAAGGCCUUCGGGUUGUAAACUUCUUUUAUCAAGGACGAAGAAAGUGACGGUACCUGAUGAAUAAGCUCCGGCUAACUACGUGCCAGCCGCCGCAGUAA